AGCUGACUCAAGUUGACGUUAAUUUAGUUCUAAUCUAGCAAGAAAGAAAUGAAGCGCUCCUCGAAAUGUACUAAACGUACGUCGUCUCUUGAACUCUAGAAAAAAACCCACUAAUUAAUUAAGUAAUCAAUUGUGGCGUCAAUUCACAGAAUUAGCAGCCCUGACAAAAUUCUCAUAAAGUUAAUUAAUUUAACGUCGUACGCAAAUUUAGGUUGUUGCAUGAGUUCACAUGCAUUUUAGCAGGCAGACAGAAUUCUCAUUCAUAUAGCUUUAGCCCGUUGAAUUACCGUUUCCAAAAAUCCCGUUGAUUGGAUUAGCGAUUGGUUGAAGCCAUUUCGACUUGGACGCCGCGUUACUGCGAAUUCGAAGACGUUGCUGACGUUGCGAGGAACAGGUGUAUCGAACCUAGCAUGUAUUCGAGACGUGUCCAGUUUCAAAAAAUCCCGUUGAUUGGAUUAUGGAUCCCGUUGAAGCUAUUUCGACAGUCCCGUUGCGGGGAACAGGUGUAUCAAACCUGGCACAUAAUUUCGACGCGAAUCCCGUAACGUGCAAGUCACGUGUAGUACUCACCCGAUAAUCUGUUCCCCGUAUAUAACAAAUGUCGACUCGUCAUUUCGACCGUCCCGCUGAACAUCGUCAUUUCGAAGACGUUGCCGGCGUUGCGGGGAACACGUGUAUCGAACACGGCAACUCUUCGACGGGCGUAGACGGGCAAACGACUGUGGGCGUUUCUGAAGACCCGGAUAUUUGCAAAAUACCUUCCUCUCGUCUAAAAUUAGUCUCGCGUACCCAGACCAUUUCCGCCUACAUUCUUCCGGCGAGCUCUCCCCGGGCGAAUUUUUUUUUUUGGCCCACUUUCUUCAGUACCCGGAUAAACGACCCGUAUACCUGUAAUCUGCACGUGACGUUGGCAGAAGGAACGUAACAUGAUUGUAUUGUUGUUUGCGUUCGUUGACUACUGCGCACCUUGCGACGCCACACCAUUGACGUUGCUGAAGCGGUAGCUGCGUCGUAAUUUUUGAACUCGGGGGCCAUCAAAGCACAUGCGCACAAAGUAGCUAUAGCAGUUCAUAAUUCAGCAGAAAUCUGCGUCAGUGCACUUGCAUCGCAAAAGGAGCUGUUCCAACUUUCAGCUGUUCAAGCAGAGACCUCUUCAAACUGGUGGACACGUAAUACAGCUAGCUAUCUAUUAAAAUAUGCAGACUACUAGUAGCUAGACUACGGUACGUAUAGUCACGUAGACAUAGAAUAACUUUUUAGUUCUUCAGGAAUAUUGCAUGGGCUUACACGUAAUCUAUACCUUACAUUGUAUAUCUAUAGUAAACAUGCUUCUAAGUAUAAAGUUUAUAAUAAACUGUCAACAUUUUUGCUGUUCUGCU